ensembl:lncRNA
AUGUUUAGAAGAUGUUAUUGCAGGUGUAAGCGAAAUGCUUGUGAUGCAAUGUGAGGUGCUGUCUGCCUGUUGUCAUAGCAGUGAGCAGGUUGAAGCCAAAGGGACUACGGCGAUAUCGGUGUGGAGGUGGUGGAUGUCAGACUCCCUCCCUCCCUCUCGCUCUCGCUCUCUAGCUGGUGUUAUUGAGAAACUGGAAAGAUGAGGAUUCAUCAGUGAGAAAGUCACUAAAGUGUGUCUCUUCUCCUCAAUCCACAAAUGCUCUGCUUUACUGUCAGACAGACAGGGCCCAGAUGGACAGUGAUGACGAGGUGAAACACACACGAGCACGACACGUGCACACACACUGAUGCACACACACUGAUGCCCCCAUUCUCAUCGACGGGGCUGCAGUGGAGCAGGUUGAGAGCUUCAAGUUCCUUGGUGUCCACAUCACCAACAAAGUAGAAUGGUCCAAGCACACCAAGACAGUCGUGAAGAGGGCACGACAAAGCCUAUUCCCCCUCAGGAGACUGAAAAGAUUUGGCAUGGGAUCCUCAAAAGGAUCUACAGCUGCACCAUCGAGACCAUCCUGACUGGUUGCAUCACUGCCUGGUAUGGCAACUGCUCGUCUUUCGACCGCAAGGCAGGUAGUGGGUGGUGACAGAGGGUAGUGCGAACAGUCCAGUACAUCACUGGGGCCAAGCUUCCUGCCAUACAGGACCUCUAUACCAGGUGGUGUCAGAGGAAGGCCCGACAAAUUGUCAAAGACUCCAGCCACCCAAGUCAUAGACUGUUCUCUCUGCUACCGCACGGCAAGCGGUACCGGAGCGCCAAGUUUAGGUCCGACAGGCUUCUAAACAGCUUCUACCCCCAAACCAUAAGACUCCUGAACACCUAAUCAAAUGGCCACCCAGACUAUUUACAUUGCCCACCACUCCCCCUCUUUUACACCACUGCUACUCUCUGUUGUUGUCAUCUACGCAAAGUCACUUCAAUAACUCUACCUUCAUGUACAU